rnacentral:rRNA from 1 species
UACGGGGGGGGCAAGCGUUGUUCGGAAUUACUGGGCGUAAAGGGCUCGUAGGCGGCCAACUAAGUCCGACGUGAAAUCCCAAGGCUUAACCUUGGAACUGCGUCGGAUACUGGAUGGCUUGAAUUCGGGAGAGGGAUGCAGAAUUCCAGGUGUAGCGGUGAAAUGCGUAGAUAUCGGGAAGAACACCCGUGGCGAAGGCGGUUCUCUGGGACGGUACUGACGCUGAGGCGCGACAGCGUGGGGAGCAAACAGG